rnacentral:ncRNA from 1 species
GGGGGCCUGCACAAGCGGUGGAGCAUGUGGUUCAAUUCGAUGCAAAGCAAAGAACCUUACCAGGGCUUGACAUGUCGUGAAUCCUCCCAAAAGAGAGGAGUGCCUUUGAGAACGCAGACACAGGUGGUGCAUGGCUAUCGUUAGCUUAUGCCAUAAGGUGUUGGGUUAAGUCUCGCAAUGAGUGCAACCCUCAUGUUUAGUUGCCAGCAUUGAGUUUGGAACCCUGAGCAGACUGUCGGUGAUAAGCCGGAGGAAGGUGAGGAUGCCGUCAAGUCAUCAUGCCCCUUACGCCCUGGGUGAAACACGUGCUACAAUGACCAGGACAAAGGGUUACGACCCCACGAGGGAAAGAUAACCUCAAAAACCUAGCCUCAGUUCAGAUUGCAGGCUGCAACUCGCCUGUAUGAAGCCGGAAUCGCUAGUAAUCGUCGAUCAACCAUACGACGGUGAAUCCAUUCCCGGGCCUUGUACACACCACCCGUCACACUAUGGGAGUUGGACAUGCCCCAAGUCAUUACCUUAACUGCAAGGAGGGGGAUGCCGAAGGCUAGGCUAGUGACUGGAGUGAAGUCGUAACAAGGUAGCCGUACUGGAAGGUGCGGCUGGAUCACCUCCUUU